rnacentral:rRNA from 1 species
GUGGGGAAUCUUCCGCAAUGGACGAAAGUCUGACGGAGCAACGCCGCGUGAGUGAAGAAGGUUUUCGGAUCGUAAAGCUCUUUCGUUAGGGACGAACGUGCUCUUUGUGAAUAAUGAGGAGUAAUGACGGUACCUAAAUAAGAAGCCACGGCUAACUACGUGCCAGCAGCCGCGGUAAUACGUAGGUGGCAAGCGUUGUCCGGAAUUAUUGGGCGUAAAGCGCGCGCAGGCGGGAUAUCAAGUCUGUCUUAAAAGUGCGAGGCUCAACCUCGUGAGGGGACAGAAACUGGUAUUCUUGAGUGUCGGAGAGGAAAGUGGAAUUCCAAGUGUAGCGGUGAAAUGCGUAGAGAUUUGGAAGAACACCAAUGGCGAAGGCGACUUUCUGGACGAUGUCUGACGCUGAGGCGCGAAAGCUAGGGGAGCGAACGGGAUUAGAAACCCCGGUAGUCC